ensembl:lncRNA novel transcript
GAGUACAAGUAGCUCUAUAUCCACACCGGCACUUGCUAUGGUAUUCAAUUGACCCAGCACCAUUUAUUGAAAAGGCUAUCCUCUUACUGAAAUGCAGCAAAGUUGUUGUCUUAAAUCAGGUCAUCAAACAUUUGAUUUCAAGUGCAGAAUCAAAGACAUAUAACCAUAAUAAAAUGCAAAAUCACAAGCCCUCAGAAUCAGAAGGGAUGUCAAGGAAAAUGCCUUCCCUCUCUCCACCUCUCUGAAUGCAGAACACUGAAGCUUCUGUGCAUCUGGUGAGCACGUGGUACAGAAUUGCAAGUUUCAUGAGCCCUGAUUAACUUCUCAUAGAGGCUGGCUGUGUUAGACUUUUGCUAAGGCCAAGAGUUUUAUUUUGUUCUAUCCUAUUUCAUUAUUAUAAAAAUCUGGAGAGUUGCUUAUUAUUAUGAACUCCUGUUUGAAGAUAUGGAAAUGAGGAAAAUGAAGACCUAUGGUACUUUUUUAAAAGUGAUACUAUAAAUAAGGAAUAAAAUGUGAAGUUGUGUGGUUGCCUGGAGUUCUUCUGCUUCCCUCAUCCAUAUCAACACAUACAAAUAAAUAAACUCCUGAGUACAUUCAUAUUCUAGGUAUUAAUACUGUUUCACCAAUUAUACACAGCAAGCUCAACAUAGCCAUCUUUCUUCAUCCAUAAUUUUUUCAGUGAUAAAUUUUCGUCAGUGAUGAAAGGCUCAGCUGGAAAAUUCUGCUUAAGAUCUCUCACAUAAUUGUAGUUAGAUAUUGGCUGGGGCUACAAUUAUCUGAAAGCUAAACUGGGCUGAACCACAAUGGCUUGUUGAUCUGGUAUCCAAAUGAUGCUGCCUGGCAGGCUGGAGCUCAGCCAGGAGUGCGUGAAACAGAAGAGGUUCUUAUGGACUCACAACCACAGCAGCAAUGUCAGAGUUGCUGCACUUGCUUCAUGUGAACGGGAUCCUUCCAGAGAAAACUCCCAGAGUUACAGGAAGAAGAUGUAGGGUAUUUUAUCAGUUAUCCUCAUAAUCACAGAGCACCGUUUCUGUCACUCUCAAUUAAUCAAAGCAGUCACACGCCUACCCAGAGUCAAGAACAUGAGACAUAGAUUGCAUAUCCUAAUGAAAGAUUGUUCAAAAUUCACUUUUAUAUUGCCACAGUAUAGAAUAGUGUGUUGAAUUCAUUAGCAUCAGUACUUUGUCCAGUCAUCAAUAUUUACAAGGGCCUAUUACUCUCCAAGGAAAGUUGAAGUUAUAUGAUUUUUUUCCAUUUCUCUAACUUUAUGUGCAAAUUUAGACUAUCCUUCAAGAUUAUCUACAUUACUAGGUAAAUCAGAUUUGCAUGAUAUAUCUAUAACUAUAUCUAUAUGUAUCAUGUUAAACUGAUGACAAACCCCUUGGAGCAGCCUCCAUAUUACUGAUCAUACACCAAAGGGCCUGUCACUAGCAAGGCAAAUGGCAACAGGGCAUUAACGUAUGUGGGCUUCACAUGGCAUUCAUGUGGUCUUUCCUUUGGAGUACUUCAUACUAGAUCAUGGAUCACAGUAAUGUUCUUCAUUUUUCCUAUUACAUGAAACAUCUAUACCUUUCAAAUGCAGCUUUAUUUUGAUGGAAUUAGAGAAGUGUUGUGAUUUGACUUUCGCCUUCAUCAAUUGUUUGGCCACAAUGCGGAAUAAUAGCUUGAUAUAUAAAUAUCUGUGAUUUAUGUCAGUCCUAUUUGUCCCCAUUUUUGGAAAAUAAAUAAUACUUUAUGUAAGCUAAAACUAAUAGUAAGUGCUAUCAGAGAGACUCAAAUUCAUCCUUAUUCACUUUCUGGUUCGAAAAAAUAC